UGUGGGCUUUUUAAUCGACCUGUUUGUGGAAAUGAUGGAAAGACCUAUACUUGUAGACAACAAUUGGAAUACUUUAACUGCCGUUAUGGAUCCAGAGUGUAUUACACAAGGUUAGGGGCAUGUCCAACAACUAAACCAGGACCUACAACCCCAAAAAGUGUAUCAAAUCAGUUGUCGGAGGUGGAAAAAGCUUGUCAAGAUAUUAAGAAUGGGGACUGCCGGACAACAUCUUAUGUAUGUGUAGCACCAGAUUGGAAAACAUACAAUGAAUGUGAGUACUUGAGGGCUAAAUGCCAUAAUGGCAAUGGUACUCCUAUUUGGUGGCAUGGGGGAAGAUGCUUUGUAGAUGUGGACAUUAACAACCUAUUUGGAUAGAAAAACUGGAACUCAUUUGUUACAUAUUCCAAAUUCUGUUACUUGUUGCUUGUGGUGAAAUAAACAUUUGUUAC